CAGAAGUUCUGGGACAGUUUGCAGAAUCUCAAUUGAGUUUACUUUAUUUUUAAUGCAAAGAGAAUGAAGUCUUUGUCUGGGGUCCACACACUGUUCUGUGGCUGGAACUAAGUUUUAUAUUUUUUUGUAAAUGUUUAAAUGAUCAUUAAAAACAACAAACAAAAAAAAUCAAGUAAUAAGAAGUAUGUGACAGAAAUGCAGCUUCCCACCUGAGAAAACCUAGAAAUCAUCUCUAAGAGAGAAUGUAGCGGAAAUGUUGAAGAUGAUGAUGUUUGAACUUGGACCACUGUGGUCCUUGGGACUCUGUCCUUCCAAAGGUCUUCCAAUCUACUGCCCCGUGCAUUUGAGGAAACAGAAGCUCAGAGGAGAGGGGUCAACCUGCCACAACCCUUCAGCUGCUCAGUGGAAAAUCCAAGUCCAGCUCACUAAUCUCUCACCAAAAGAAAAGCAGGAUGGAAGAGAACACACGCUUCACAUAGAAAUACCUAAAUGUCAAGUAGAUGCCAAGAUCUCUAGUAGGUUUAGGAAUCACCAUGACAAUCUUUUAAAGACUGGCUUUGUUGUUAUUAUUAAUUACAAUUUCUGGAUGAGAAUUAUUAAAAUCAAGCAUGAACUUUCCAGGAUUCAAACCCGUUUAUUUUAUGCCAAAGCCAAUGGGGCUACCUUAGUACCCU
rnacentral:lncRNA from 1 species